GAAGAGUGGCAGGACCUGGAAGAUGCUCAGAAGAUUCUAUACAAGGAUGUGAUGCUGGAGACCUCAGCAACCUGAUGUUUUUGGAACAAUCCAUUGCCAAACCUGCAGUGAUCAUCAAGUUGGAGCAAGGAGGAGAUCCAUGGAUAUUAGAAGAAGUUCCCAGCUUGAGCCUCCCAGGAGAGAAGCUCUAUAAGUGUAAACAGUGUAAGAAAACAUUUUCCCAGAAUUCAAACCUUACUGUACAUCAUGGCGAAAUUCUAUGAAAAUGAAAUGUGUGGAAAAAUGUUCUACAAAAAGUCAUGCUUCACUGUGCACCAGACAACUCACACACACUGGAGAGAAAUCCUAUGAAUGUGGGGAAUGUGGAAAAUCUUUCAGUCCCAAGUCAGUCUUGAGUAGACAUUGGAAAACUCAUAUAGUAAAGAAACCCUAUGAAUGUGAACAAUAUCAGAAAAUGUGCUCCCAGAAGUCACAUCUCACUGAACAUCAGAGAACUCACACAGGAGAGAAAACCUUUGAAUGUGAACAGUAUGGGAAAACAUUCUCCAGCAAGGAGUACUUCACUGUACAUUAGAGAACUCACACAGGAGAGAAGCCCUAUGAAUGUGAACAAUGUAGGAAAAUGUUC